rnacentral:rRNA from 1 species
UCUGGCGCGUGCUAUACAUGCAAGUCGAGCGAACAGACGAGGAGCUUGCUCCUCUGACGUUAGCGGCGGACGGGUGAGUAACACGUGGAUAACCUACCUAUAAGACUGGGAUAACUUCGGGAAACCGGAGCUAAUACCGGAUAAUAUAUUGAACCGCAUGGUUCAAUAGUGAAAGACGGUUUUGCUGUCACUUAUAGAUGGAUCCGCGCCGCAUUAGCUAGUUGGUAAGGUAACGGCUUACCAAGGCAACGAUGCGUAGCCGACCUGAGAGGGUGAUCGGCCACACUGGAACUGAGACACGGUCCAGACUCCUACGGGAGGCAGCAGUAGGGAAUCUUCCGCAAUGGGCGAAAGCCUGACGGAGCAACGCCGCGUGAGUGAUGAAGGUCUUCGGAUCGUAAAACUCUGUUAUUAGGGAAGAACAAAUGUGUAAGUAACUAUGCACGUCUUGACGGUACCUAAUCAGAAAGCCACGGCUAACUACGUGCCAGCAGCCGCGGUAAUACGUAGGUGGCAAGCGUUAUCCGGAAUUAUUGGGCGUAAAGCGCGCGUAGGCGGUUUUUUAAGUCUGAUGUGAAAGCCCACGGCUCAACCGUGGAGGGUCAUUGGAAACUGGAAAACUUGAGUGCAGAAGAGGAAAGUGGAAUUCCAUGUGUAGCGGUGAAAUGCGCAGAGAUAUGGAGGAACACCAGUGGCGAAGGCGACUUUCUGGUCUGUAACUGACGCUGAUGUGCGAAAGCGUGGGGAUCAAACAGGAUUAGAUACCCUGGUAGUCCACGCCGUAAACGAUGAGUGCUAAGUGUUAGGGGGUUUCCGCCCCUUAGUGCUGCAGCUAACGCAUUAAGCACUCCGCCUGGGGAGUACGACCGCAAGGUUGAAACUCAAAGGAAUUGACGGGGACCCGCACAAGCGGUGGAGCAUGUGGUUUAAUUCGAAGCAACGCGAAGAACCUUACCAAAUCUUGACAUCCUCUGACCCCUCUAGAGAUAGAGUUUUCCCCUUCGGGGGACAGAGUGACAGGUGGUGCAUGGUUGUCGUCAGCUCGUGUCGUGAGAUGUUGGGUUAAGUCCCGCAACGAGCGCAACCCUUAAGCUUAGUUGCCAUCAUUAAGUUGGGCACUCUAAGUUGACUGCCGGUGACAAACCGGAGGAAGGUGGGGAUGACGUCAAAUCAUCAUGCCCCUUAUGAUUUGGGCUACACA